CCAGCGAUUAGUCGGUGUUAAUAUACGACCCGACUAGCAGCUUCCGGGAAACCAAAGUUUUUCGUUUCCGGGGGAAGUAUGGUUGCAAAGCUGAAACUUAAAGAAAUUGACGGAAGGGCACCACCAGGAGUGGAGCCUGCGGCUUAAUUUGACUCAACACGGGAAAACUCACCCGGCCCGGACACUGUAAGGAUUGACAGACUGAGAGCUCUUUCUUAAUUCGGGGGGGGGGGGUGCAUGGCCGUUCUUAGUUGGGGGAGCGAUUUGUCUGGUUAAUUCCUAUAACGAACGACACUCUGGCCUACUAACUAGAUGUAGGAUCCCUUUGUGGGUCCGUCACUGCUUCUUAGAGGGACGGGCGGCUCUUAACCACACAAAAAUGAACAAUAACAGGUCUGUGAUGCCCUUAGAUGUUCUGGGCUGCACGCGCGCUACACUGAAGGAAUCAGCGUGUGUUCCCUACCCGAAAGGGUGGGGAAACCCAUUAAACCUCCUUCGUGAUGGGGAUUGGGGAUUGCUAUUAUUCCCCAUGAACGAGGAAUUCCCAGUAGGCGCGAGUCAUAAGCUUGCGUCUAUUACCUCCCUGCCCUUU
rnacentral:rRNA from 1 species